CCUACGGGGGGCAGCAGUGGGGAAUCUUGCACAAUGGGCGAAAGCCUGAUGCAGCGACGCCGCGUGAGUGAUGAAGGCCUUAGGGUUGUAAAGCUCUUUCGCCAGGGACGAUAAUGACGGUACCUGGAGAAGAAGCUCCGGCUAACUACGUGCCAGCAGCCGCGGUAAUACGUAGGCAGCGAGCGUUGUUCGGAGUUACUGGGCGUAAAGAGUAUGUAGGCGGUCGCGUAAGUUCGGUGUGAAAUCUCCCGGCUUAACUGGGAGGGUGCGCCGAAAACUGCGCGGCUAGAGGGCGGGAGAGGAGAGCGGAAUUCCUGGUGUAGCGGUGAAAUGCGUAGAUAUCAGGAGGAACACCAGUGGCGAAGGCGGCUCUCUGGACCGUGACUGACGCUGAGAUACGAAAGCGUGGGGAGCAAACAGGAUUAGAUACCCUUGUAGUC
rnacentral:rRNA from 1 species